rnacentral:rRNA from 1 species
AACGUAGGUGACGAGCGUUAUCCGGAUUUACUGGGCGUAAAGCGUGUGCAGGCGGUUGAGUAAGUGGUGUAUGAAAGCUCCGGGCUUAACUCGGAGAGGUUAUGCCAGACUGCUCGGCUUGAGGCAGAGAGAGGGACAUGGAAUUCCGGGUGUAGUGGUGAAAUGCGUAGAGAUCCGGAGGAACUCCAGAGGCGAAGGCGGCAACCUGGACAAGUACUGACACUCAACUACGAAAGCGUGGGGAGCAAACAGG